UAAGACGUAGGGUGCAAGCGUUGUCCGGAUUUACUGGGCGUAAAGAGCGCGUAGGCGGCUCGUUAAGUGUGAAGCUAAAUCUCCAGGCUCAACCUGGAAACUAUUUCGCAUACUGGCGGGCUGGAGUGAUGCAGAGGUGGAUAGAAUUCCCGGUGUAGCGGUGAAAUGCGUUGAUAUCGGGAGGAAUACCCGUGGCGAAGGCGGUCCACUGGGCAUCAACUGACGCUGAGGCGCGAAAGCGUGGGUAGCAAACAGGAUUAGAUACCCUGGUAGUCCACGCCCUAAACGAUGGAUGCUAGGCGUAGGAGGUAUCGACCCCUCCUGUGCCGCAGCUAACGCAUUAAGCAUCCCGCCUGGGGACUACGGCCGCAAGGUUG
rnacentral:rRNA from 1 species